UGGGGAAUAUUGGACAAUGGGGGAAACCCUGAUCCAGCAAUGCCGCGUGAGUGAUGAAGGCCUUCGGGUUGUAAAGCUCUUUUAUUAAGGAAGAUAAUGACGGUACUUAAUGAAUAAGCCCCGGCUAACUUCGUGCCAGCAGCCGCGGUAAUACGAAGGGGGCUAGCGUUGUUCGGAAUUACUGGGCGUAAAGAGCGCGCAGGCGGUUUGAUUAGUUAGGUGUGAAAUCCCUGGGCUUAACCUAGGAACUGCACUUAAUACUGUCAAACUAGAGUGUGAUAGGGAGAGACGGAAUGGCGAGUGGAGCAGUGAAAUGCGUUGAUAUUCGUUGGAACACCGGAGGCGAAGGCGGUCUCUUGGAUCAUCACUGACGCUGAGGCGCGAAAGCGUGGGGAGCAAACAGGAUUAGAUACCCCCGUAGUCC
rnacentral:rRNA from 1 species